GAUGAACGCUAGCUACAGGCUUAACACAUGCAAGUCGAGGGGAAACGAUGAGAGAGCUUGCUCUCUUAGUCGUCGACCGGCGCACGGGUGAGUAACGCGUAUCCAACCUGCCUCUGACCAAGGGAUAACCCGUCGAAAGUCGGACUAAUACCUUAUGCAGUCGUCGGAAGUCAUCUGAUGACGACGAAAGAUUUCAUCGGGGAGAGAUGGGGAUGCGUCUGAUUAGCUUGUUGGCGGGGUAACGGCCCACCAAGGCGACGAUCCGUAGGGGUUCUGAGGGGCAGGUCCCCCACAUUGGAACUGCGACCCGGUCCAAACUCCUACGGGAGGCAGCAGUGAGGAAUAGUGGUCAAUGGGCGUAAGCCUGAACCAGCCAAGUAGCGUGCAGGAGGACUGCCCUAUGGGUGGUAAACUGCUUUUAUGCGGGGAUAAAGUGAGGGACGUGUCCUUCAUUGCAGGUACCGCAUGAAUAAGGACCGGCUAAUUCCGUG
rnacentral:rRNA from 1 species